CUGGCUUGUGCACGGUUCCUCUCUUUAUAUGUAUACAUCUCUCCAUUGCAGAUUCAUGUCCCAGUGUCCCACGCUAUUCGGAACAAACUCAACGACUAUGUAUGCAUGAGCAAAAUAAGCACAAUACAACUGGUACAAGAUGGUAACAGUUCGGAAGCUGAGGUUCAUAAUUAAGUGACAUAGGAGUUGGAGACAUUGGGAGCAUAAUAGAUGUCGGGAACAACUUCUGUUUGUCUUGUUCAC
rnacentral:lncRNA from 1 species